rnacentral:rRNA from 1 species
UUUGGAGAAAUUUGAUCCUGGCUCAGGACGAACGCUGGCGGCGUGCUUAACACAUGCAAGUCGAACGAUGAACCUCCUUCGGGAGGGGAUUAGUGGCGAACGGGUGAGUAACACGUGGGCAAUCUGCCCUGCACUCUGGGACAAGCCCUGGAAACGGGGUCUAAUACCGGAUACUGACCCGCUUGGGCAUCCAAGCGGUUCGAAAGCUCCGGCGGUGCAGGAUGAGCCCGCGGCCUAUCAGCUUGUUGGUGAGGUAAUGGCUCACCAAGGCGACGACGGGUAGCCGGCCUGAGAGGGCGACCGGCCACACUGGGACUGAGACACGGCCCAGACUCCUACGGGAGGCAGCAGUGGGGAAUAUUGCACAAUGGGCGAAAGCCUGAUGCAGCGACGCCGCGUGAGGGAUGACGGCCUUCGGGUUGUAAACCUCUUUCAGCAGGGAAGAAGCGAAAGGACG